UUUUAUAUGAAAUGUGCUUUGAAUAGUCUGGUCCUUCAGUAGUCCGUGUGUUCAAACCGGGAAGAACCGGUGCCGUGUGAUUAGCGCUGUAUAAACACCGGUAGGUAUAGUAGAUAUGCUACCGUAACACCUGCAGUAGAGGGGCGUUUACCGUAUAUGAUCACUUACACUCACAGACACUUCUUUGUGAGCCGUUUUAAUACGUAACCCACCAAAGUUAGAAAUCUAAUCUAAUCAAAAGGAAUUUUACUCCUGUGCCUUCCUCAUUCAGAGUGUUAAUUUACUAUCUGUUGCCUUCAAUGUAGCAUUAGAGCUAAUUCCAAACCCUGUGUUGGAACAGAUUUGAGUAAAAAGUAAAUGUCACUUCCGCACACAGUUAAACCUGGAAGGUAAAUGACACCCUUGUCUGGGGCAUUAGGGAGGGGUGUCACACUGUAGUGGUGCUACGAGUUUUCUAUUUAGCCCUGCAGAAGAAGAGGAACUUUAAGUUACACCCAAAGCUGGUCAGUUCAGUAUCAUGACAUGCCACAUCACAUCACAAGCCACAAUAAGCGGCAACUACCUGACCUGAAUUUUGGCUUUGAGUAAAUUUACAUCUGCAGCCGCCUGACAGAACCUGACCACAUUUGUCAGCAGCUCUCAGCAGAACAGCAGGAACUGCUGAAACUUUAGGACCUGCGCUGUGUCCGAGGCUGCAGAGAACAAAAGAAUCCAGGAGGGAACAGGCGCAGGGAGAACAUGGUAUCAGGUACUUUAUCUGCCGCUCUCCUGUCUCUCCGCAAGAGGAGGUGUGAAAGGAUCAGCUGCAUACCAGGUAUUUUGCAGUGAUCAGGUGGUUUACAUGCAAAAGUGUCUCUAUGGUGAAGGUGUUCAGCUGUGGCCUGUGUCAAAUGUAUGAAUGGCAUGUAAAACCCUUCCCUAAUGUGUUUUGUACUGUGGUGUUUCACACAAAACAACAAACACAUUUACAGAGUCACCGCCUCACACUCCACUGCACAGACGCACAGUCGAGAACGUGAGACGGGAACCUGAAAAACAUGAAAGAGGAAAUUGUCUUUUCUUACCUUCAAAGUUGGCAGAAAACUCCUAGGAUUAAGAUGGAACUUUGUGCAGGUUUCAGUCCAUGGGAGUGGAGAGGAAGGAGAGAGGGCUCCACUCAGGAAGGGACCUCCUCUCUGUCUGACCUCCUACUGCUGUUCUCUGCUCCCUGCUGGCUCCUCCUUUUUCUCUCUGUCUUUCUUCCACUUUUUGACUGGUUCUCUACAGUUAACUCACAUCCAGCUGAGGAGGAGCGUGGGGUUUACUGCAUUUCUAAUGUGUUAGGUAAACAGGUAAAGUUUUUGAUUGUGUCAUUUGUGUUGUUGCUGUUGCCAUGUUUUACAGCAGUGGUACAGCAGGAGCGUGCACUGGUAUUUAGAGGCUACAAAAACACACUUGUACCCAGUGUUGUAACUAAAUAUGCUGCUGAAUGGUCUUCAGCAGAGGUCUUCAACAGGAGGCCCGUUAGCCCCAAGAGGUCCAUGAAGGCACUGCAGCAGGGUCGAAAAAUGUUUGGUUACCUAAAAUAGAAAAUAUGAACCUGUGUAUUAUUUGAAUAGAUUAGGGCUGAAUGCAAAAUACCAUGGUAAAUUGAUGCAUGACACUAAGCCUAGUUAUAUACAAUUCAAAAAUGUCCUAUUUCCUCAAAAUAGCCUCUUCUCAUCUCAUCAGUUUUUGGCAUGUAAAUCAUUGACAACCCCUGCACGUAAAAUGAUUAACAAAAAAUUGCUUUCUAUAGUGUUGUUUAUAUUUAGUGUCUUUUUUGUGAUAGUCUGUUUUGUAGUUCACUUUUCAACUUUUGGUAAAGGUUGUGCAGUGAGGCUGAAUUCCUUGCACCUUAGCAGCCAUUGGGUGAGUGGACUGUUCACUAGUCCAUCACAGGCCCCAGUGACAAGCACCCAUUCACACUCCCAUUCACACUAACAUUCACCCCUACGGUCAACUUACAGUUCCAAUUACAGAAACACAAUUCAAUUCAACUCCAUAAAAUUCUACUCUUAAUACAACUGUGAAUCGAACCAAUUACUUUCUUGUAAGGCAAACACACCUGACUACACUGUAUAAUAACCCUACAGUGAACAACAGAUAAAUCCACUGGUGUAGUGCAGAACUACGGCAGCACUGGACUGAUGAUAGAAGUUGUAAAUGACAGAAGUUUGCAUACUGCAACCUUUGCCUCUGCAACCCACUGACACGCUGCUGCACACGAUCACGAUAACAUCAAGAGGAAGUUACAGGACUUUAUGAUGACAUUCAACCAAUGACAGUACUUGUGUCUUUCUGGACAGGAAGGAGCAGUUUCACCCACAGACUAUACACAGUUUACUGUGAACAGGCGGCGGAGGAUAAACUGUUGAUGUGUCAGUAGGAAGGAGAGAUGAGUCACACAUGACUGAGGCUACUGCACAUGUUGGCUACAGAGCUAAGCCAGGGCUUGAACAUCUGCACCUACUGGUUUUUACAGCACCUGAGGCUGUCACACAGUCAGCCAGUACGGGGGUGCCGUCUUAACACAGCUGUUUAAACCUGCAUGGUAAAGCGUUAGCACAAAAACUAAGACUGCGUGGAUGCUGCUCAGUUCAGUCUCGAUGGACACUCAGGGUCAAAAAGUCUCCAUCAGGAGUUGGCAGGUCCUUUCAUGUUUGUAUCUUUUAUAUCAAUAGCUGUCCUACAGCAGUUUGGUCAGCGAGCCCUUUCUAAAUUGUUUCAUAAAUAAAGUAAGUCACAGUAAAUAUUUACAGUAAGCUAGUGUUUGCUGAAGUUCCAUCAUUCUGAAAGGAAAAACAAACUCAGUGUCUCAUCCUUGGCCCCAACAACCAAGGACAAUGAUUCUUAAACACGGGGCGACUGUAUAAAAGACAUAUACGUAUAAGACCAUCAUCACAUCUUUACUGUGUUGUACACAGUAACCAUACUGGGCAUCACUGACAUAACUUUACCAACACUGUAUCCCAGUGUUGAAUGUCAAACAGCUUUCACCUAUGUAUUUACCUGGUUCUGCUGCAAAUGUUAAUGAGUUUGUCCUCUGGUCACACCUCACACGUCCACACAAGGCCACUGUCUUUUCUUUCACUGCAUAAUUUGCAGGGAGACAGAGAAAAAGAAAAGUGCAGGUACCUGCAAAUAAGUGUUGAGCUGAUUAACACAGAAUGAAUGACACUGGCGGUGGUUAUUACACCAGGGUGCAGUUAAAGUACAGUUAAAACACAUACAUAUGACUAAUGGAAAAAUGAGCUCAUUAUAAUAAUAAUUAACAUUAUUUCCAGCAGUGUGUCUCUACAUGGACUCCAGCAGUAACCUCACAGUGAAUGUCUGCUCUACAGAGUCAAUAAGUGGACUUCCUGCACAAAGAUUCCUGACUGAGUGGAACCUGGCUCCUGUCCAUGGACCGCAGACAGCUGUUGAAAAAAAAAAAAAAAAAAGCAAAACAUUUAAAAAUAAAAGGUGUGUCUUUCCCCGUGUAAAACCAUAACGUUUUCAUUUUGAAAUAAAACUCACAAGAGGAAAGAGUUUCAAAGUUUUACUGAAGAACUGACAAAAGGAAAUGUACAGUAAAGGGAAGAACAGUAGAAAAACUCAAGUCAGAACUUCUCCUCACACAGACCUACACCUUCAGCGUCUCCGUGUCUGCCCCGCUCUCACCUGUCAAUCAAAUAAAUACUAUGACAAUAAA